UGGGGAACAGCUCAGUGGUAGAACAUUUGCUUAGCAUGCAUGAGGUCCUGGGUUCAAUCCCCAGUACCUCCA
rnacentral:tRNA from 1 species